CCUACGGGUGGCAGCAGUGAGGAAUAUUGGUCAAUGGCCGGAAGGCUGAACCAGCCAAGUCGCGUGAGGGAAUAAGGCCCUAUGGGUCGUAAACCUCUUUUGUCAGGGAGCAAAGGCGUCCACGUGUGGACGAGAGGAGAGUACCUGAAGAAAAAGCAUCGGCUAACUCCGUGCCAGCAGCCGCGGUAAUACGGAGGAUGCGAGCGUUAUCCGGAUUUAUUGGGUUUAAAGGGUGCGUAGGCGGAGUGUCAAGUCAGCGGUAAAAUUUCGGGGCUCAACCCCGUCGUGCCGUUGAAACUGACGCCCUUGAGUGAGUGAGAAGUAAGCGGAAUGCGUGGUGUAGCGGUGAAAUGCUUAGAUAUGACGAAGAACCCCGAUUGCGAAGGCAGCUUGCUGCAGCGGAACUGACGCUGAUGCUCGAAAGCGCGGGUAUCGAACAGGAUUAGAUACCCUUGUAGUC
rnacentral:rRNA from 1 species